GCGCGGCCGGGCCGGGCGGCCCCGGCAGCUGCGCAGGGGCUGCUCCCGGCGAGUCGGCCGGGGCGUCGUGGGGUGGGGUGGGGACCGCCCUGGCUCCGUGACGGGACGUCGGAGGCUGGCGGAAGGGUGUGCCGCUAGCGCCGUCGCGGCGUGGCUGAAGUUAAGUGCGGGCUCCGGAGGCCCUGAGGUGUUGGAGCCGGGAGCCUCCGCCAGCCCCGCUGUGCGGGCCCGUGCCUGGGAGAGACGUUCCCGGUCCGGGUCCGUGCGCCUUCGGCUGGCCCCGUGCGUGGGAGCGUUGCCGCGUAAAAAAGGAAGACGUGAGACGAAAACAAACUAUGAAAGUAUUGGUUAUCGGCCUUGGGGGUGUAACAAAUGGAGGGAAAACAACGUUAGCAGAAAAACUUAAGAAUAUGCUUCCCAACUGUGAUGUAAUCUCUCAAGAUGACUUCUUUAAGCCAGAGUCUGAAGUAGAAACAGAUGAACAUGGAUUUAAGCUAUAUGAUGUACUUGAUGCCCUCUAUAUGGAUGAAAUGGUGACAAGUAUUCGCAAUUGGAUGAAAAGCCCAGCAAGCUCAGGUGUUGUGAAAGAAGAGCCAGAGAAUACAUCUGACAAUCUGAAAAAUGUUUAUAUUUUGAUUGUUGAAGGCUUUCUCCUUUACAAUUAUGAGCCACUUAAUGAAGUAUGGAAUAGAAGAUAUUUUUUGACCCUUCCUUAUGAAGAGUGCAAAAGGAGAAGGAGUACCAGAGUCUAUCAGCCAGCAGAUACACCAGGGUACUUCGAUGGACAUGUGUGGCCUAUGUAUUUGAAAUAUAAAAAGGAAUUGGAAGAGAAUGCAAGUAUGGAAGUUGAUUAUUUGGAUGGAACAAAAUCCCAAGAGGAGCUUUUAUCCUAUGUGUAUAGUGAUAUAAUACAGGAAUUAAACAAGCUGAGGGAAGAAAAUCAGCAGGUCACAGCAUGACAGUGUAGAAAGCCUGGGUUCCAUUUGACAUGAGUUGAAAACACCAAGACUGUCGUAUAUGGCAAGCCAACCAACUGAGCAAAUGUUGUGUGUAUGACCAUAAUGCUACUUCAUAUAACACAAGAGAUUUUGUACAAUUGCAAGAGAUUAGCUAAUGCAUGGAAUGGCUGUGAAGGGCUGACCUUGGCUAGCCACCAAAACAGCUCCACAACAGGAGAGGGGAAAAAAAUGUAAUGGAUUUGCAUCUUGACUCAUGCGUCAAGGACAGGAAGAUCUUUCAGCAGUUACUCACAUGCAAUCAAAACAGACAUGGUUUUGGGAAAUUAUUUGAAUCUACUGCCAAUAAAAUCAGAAAUAAUGAGAAAAAUGAGAA